UAAGGUAACGGCUUACCAAGGCGACGAUGCAUAGCCGAGUUGAGAGACUGAUCGGCCACAUUGGGACUGAGACACGGCCCAAACUCCUACGGGAGGCAGCAGUAGGGAAUCUUCCACAAUGGGCGAAAGCCUGAUGGAGCAACGCCGCGUGAGUGAAGAAGGUUUUCGGAUCGUAAAGCUCUGUUGUUGGUGAAGAAGGAUAGAGGUAGUAACUGGCCCCUAUUUGACGGUAAUCAACCAGAAAGUCACGGCUAACUACGUGCCAGCAGCCGCGGUAAUACGUAGGUGGCAAGCGUUGUCCGGAUUUAUUGGGCGUAAAGCGAGCGCAGGCGGAAAGAUAAGUCUGAUGUGAAAGCCCCCGGCUUAACCGAGGAAUUGCAUCGGAAACUGUGUUUCUUGAAUGCAGAAGAGGAGAGUGGAACUCCAUGUGUAGCGGUGGAAUGCGUAGAUAUAUGGAAGAACACCAGUGGCGAAGGCGGCUCUCUGGUCUGUAACUGACGCUGAGGCUCGAAAGCAUGGGUAGCGAACAGGAUUAGAUACCCUGGUAGUCCAUGCCGUAAACGAUGAGUGCUAAGUGUUGGGAGGUUUCCGCCUCUCA
rnacentral:rRNA from 1 species